AUUCAUUAAUUCUUAUCUUAAUUCAUAUCAUUUAUAUGUUCAGGCUAUUGAAAGGUCAUGAACCUUGUUGAAGUUUGAUAACAACGAAAUACAUUGAGCAGUAUCAUAUUUAUUACAGACAAGAGUUUUUCUUUAAAACUUGUAACUAGUAAAAACUGUAGUCAAGUCGCAGGUCAUUUCCGAAUUAUGAAUUCCGAACAAUAACGCCAAGUGGAGGCUUCGUGCUAAGUUUGCUAUAAAAACAUUACAACUUUGCACGAAGCCUCGUUCUCGUGCUAUUGUCUGUGGGCAUUCGAUCAUGAUUCGGGAAUGGUCUAUUUAUUCUUUCUUUCUAGAUAAUGGCAGCAAUGGAGAAGAUUCAAUCAAGACUGCCUUUUUCAUAAUGACCAUUUUGUUAAUUCAUGCAAAUGUCGUUUCUAGGGCAGAUCAGCUCUGCCUAAUUUGCAUCCUAAUAAGAGGCUGGCACGAAGCCGAUUAAUUACUUUUUAACCGCAGGAAGGCAGGGCCGCCGAGAGGUUGCACGGGGAAAAAAUUCCCAGGUGGACCUAAUGACGUCAUAAAACGUUUCCCUGGGCCCCUAUGAUGUCAUGAUCAUAAUUGCCAAAUGGGAGCAGCAGUGUUUUACAAUACAGUGCGCUUUACUGCAUAUUAGCAAAUAGCAAUCCUGUGUCAAGAAAUUUGUGGGCCCGGGGGAAAAUGCCCCCUGUCCCUCCCCCUUUUGGCGGGUCUGCAGGGAGGACUGAAACUACAGGGAAAAUUUGAAUUA